AUUUUGCUUGCACGUGCUGCUGUGGGGGAAGCAAGGUGUUCUCCCACGAUGCCCGGAUUUAUAUCGAGAUUGUAACACGUAUCAUCAUAGGAAGAUACUAAACAUAAAUUCAAGAUUUCUCGCAACAUACGAAGGUAAAGAUGGGUUUUUCUUUUGCAGCUCUUUUGACUAUUCUUGGAGUACUUGUUUAUCAAGAAACGGUUUACACCUAAAUCGGAGAGGUAAUCAGCAGCUGGGGAAAAUUUUUGUAAAAGAUAUCAGGAUAAGUUUGACCGUUGCAGAGUUGCAUGGUAGCUGAAUGAUCUCUUAUAUGGAUGGAUGCCAUGCCAGUAUAAGAAGAGAUUAAGUCCCAAUGGCAAUUGUUUUUGUGAUUGACUGUGCAAUAUAUUUGUAAAGCUUUCAGAAAAUAAUUGCUUUUAGGACAUAUAAAAAUAUGUUCCCCAUAUAGAAUUUAAAGAACAUCUGGUAAAGUUACAUUUGAAUUCUUGUUAAUUGUUAAAAAAGCAGAUGGUAUAUUUCACAGAAGAUGGAUGAUAUGUUUCACUUGUUUUUAUUCCAGAUUUCUGUUAUUUUCAAAUAUUGCAACUAAAUAUUCCUCAGAUUUAAGAAAUGUGGCCAGCACAUCUCUAACCAUUUUGAGACGUGGAAUUGACAGAAUAGUAACGAGCUUUAAGUGAACUAUCAGUAUUAUCAGUAUCUAGUUGAUCAUUUAUAAAUGAAAUCUAAUUAAUUUGUUAA